rnacentral:rRNA from 1 species
AGAGUUUGAUUCUGGCUCAGAACGAACGCUGGCAGCGUGGAUUAGGCAUGCAAGUCGAACGGGAAGCCGUUGAUUCAAGUUUUCGGACAAGAAUUUGCGGUGGAGAGUGGCGAAAGGGUGAGUAACGCGUGGGUAAUCUACCCUUAAGUUGGGGAUAACGCCGGGAAACUGGCGCUAAUACCGAAUGUGGUACUCCGGUGCAUAUCGGGGACACUAAAGGUGGGGACUCUUAGGAGCCUGCCGCUUGGGGAGGAGCCCGCGUACGAUCAGCUUGUUGGUGAGGUAAUGGCUCACCAAGGCUACGACCGUUAGCCGGCCUGAGAGGGUGAUCGGCCACACUGGGACUGAGACACUGCCCAGACUCCUACGGGAGGCUGCAGUCGAGGAUCAUUCACAAUGCGCGAAAGCGUGAUGAUGCGACGCUGCGUGGAGGAUGACGGCCUUCGGGUUGUAAACUCCUGUCAUCCGGGAAAAACGAGCGGGUAUUUAAUACGUACUCGCAGUGAUGGUACCGGAAGAGGAAGCCACGGCUAACUCUGUGCCAGCAGCCGCGGUAAUACAGAGGUGGCAAGCGUUGUUCGGAUUUACUGGGCGUAAAGGGUGCGUAGGUGGUCCUGUAUGUCGGGUGUGAAAUCCCACGGCUCAACCGUGGAACUGCAUUCGAAACUGCAGGACUUGAGUACAGGAGGGGAGAGCGGAAUUCUUGGUGUAGCGGUGAAAUGCGUUGAUAUCAAGAAGAACACCGGUGGCGAAGGCGGCUCUCUGGAAUGUUACUGACACUGAGGCACGAAAGCUAGGGGAGCGAACAGGAUUAGAUACCCUGGUAGUCCUAGCUGUAAACGGUGCGCACUUGGUGUUGUGGGUAUUGACCCCCUCAGUGCCGGAGCUAACGCAUUAAGUGCGCCGCCUGGGGAGUACGGCCGCAAGGUUAAAACUCAAAGAAAUUGACGGGGGCCCGCACAAGCGGAGGAGCAUGUGGCUUAAUUCGAUGCAACGCGAAGAACCUUACCAGGGCUUGACAUAUACCUGCACGCCCGCCGAAAGGUGGGAAGCUUUCGAAGGUGGUAUACAGGUGCUGCAUGGCUGUCGUCAGUUCGUGCCGUGAGGUGUUGGGUUAAGUCCCGCAACGAACGCAACCCCUGUGUCUAGUUGCCACCGUAGGUGAUGAGCCUGCGAGCACUCUAGACAGACUGCCUGUACAAGCAGGAGGAAGGUGGGGACGACGUCAAGUCAGUAUGGCCCUUACGCCCUGGGCUGCACACGUGCUACAAUGGCCGGUACAGAAGGAAGCAAUACCGCGAGGUGGAGCAAAUCCCCAAAAACCGGCCUCAGUUCGGAUUGGAGUCUGCAACUCGACUCCAUGAAGUCGGAUUCGCUAGUAACGGCGUAUCAGCUACGACGCCGUGAAUACGUUCCCGGGCCUUGUGCACACCGCCCGUCACAUCAUGAAAGCCGUCUGCACCCGAAGUCAUUGAGCCAACCCGUAAGGGAGGCAGGUGCCGAAGGUGUGGGUGGUGAUUGGGAUGAAGUCGUAACAAGGUA